GUGCUAUGAUGACCUUUUUACUGGUUUCACUCAUCACUGAAUUUCCUCUGAUGAUGCCUUCUCUUGGCUGGCUGAGCAC